UUAGGGGGGAGUUCAAGAGUACGUGAAACCGCUCAGGGGUAAACCUGCGAAACUCGAAUGAACGAACGGGGAGAUUCAUCGUCUUUUCCGGGCGUACGGGCGUCGCGUCGAUGAUGUCGCCUUCGGGUGUGCGUCACGGCCGGCGUUCGUCGACGUCCCGGGACGGCGUGCACUUCUCCCUUAGUAAUACAUCGCGACCCGUUCGAUGUCGGUCUAAGCGCCGCCCGGGAGUCUCUCGGUCCACCUUCGGGUGCGGCCGGGUUGACCGGUGUGGUUGCCGACCGGCCGUCGGACGGUAGAACAACGAAACGCUCACGCGCUCAGCGCGUCCGGCCCGACGCAAGCGUGUGUCGUCUCCCUCUCUCUGCCCGAGUGCGAGGGAGGGGGCGGCGCACCUGUUCAUCGCCGCCGUGCAGUCUCGGACUGUGAGCGUCUCCGUCUGCGAUGAUUCAGUUUCGGGCACUCGCAGGACCCGUCUUGAAACACGG
rnacentral:rRNA from 1 species